GGCAGGACGGUGACUGAAGGGCAGGGGGUGUUUCUCCUUGCUCUGAGGUGCGUCCCAAGGACGCUGCUUCCCUCCCUCCUUCCUUCCCGGUUGCUCUCCCGAGGGAGAGCUUUCCCCUGCAGCAGGGUUCGCUGUGGAGGUGCCUGUUCCUGGCUGGCCGUUGGCGUGCUGGAAGCCCUUUGGCUUUGUGGAGGGGGGCCGUCCUGAGACGGGCAGGUGGGCAGCGGGGAGAUGACUCUGAAGGGGCUGAUGCAGCUCUGUUGUUUUAACUGAAUCUCUUAGGUGGAAAAGAGCCUGGAUGUGGCCCUCGGCUAUGGGCUGUGGAGAAACAUGGAGGAGGCUGGCGCGGGUCCCUCAUCGGGACACGUGCGUCCCCCCGCUGGGACACUGCGCUCUGCAACCCUUGCUGCUGCCACAGGGCACCCGUGCUGCGGGGCAGGUGGAGUCCUGCAGCGGACGUGGAAACGGUUUUCCUUGAGGGAAUGCCUUUUUCUAUGCCAGACAAAUGGCAACGACAGAUGGGACAUAACAGUGUUGGAGGCAUGCAAUGUUGGCAGAAACCAAAAUUACGAAAAUCCACUUUCCAACAACUUGGAGCACAUGGAGUACCACCAACAGGUGUGUCCCAAGGCAAUGAGAGUCUUUGUUGCUGCUCAUCUGAUUAAACUGACCACCAAGACAAUUCUAGUGGAAGAGGUCAUCAAAAAGCUUCUUGCCACCUGGACGGAUUACAGACUAGAAGAUAACUUGGACUUCUGCUUUAUGACAGUGUCUGUAGUGAUUUUGAAUGCGUUGGGCAAAGCAGAAAAAACAGCUAGUCUGCAGACUGUAAGUGAAUUACUUCUUACUAACUCAGUCCAUGAAUGCUAAGUGCUGCUCCCUCCUUCCCCCCACCCCUCAAAAAAAUUGAGGAAGGCCUUUACUUAAUUAUUUUUGAGAUAAACACAUAAUUUUAGGAAAUGUGACACUAUUGUGUAGUCUUUUUAUAGUAGAGAUUGUUUUUCCACAAUAUGUACAUUCUGCACAUAGGUAGCAGUACUGUAAUACACUUUACCAAGUGCACCAGAUGGGCCUGUAGAAAUGGUGUGAAUGAAACUAAAGGAGGCCUAUACUCCAAAAUUAAUUCAUUCAGACAAUCAAGGAGGUACAGAAACACCAUUAUCACAGGAUGAAUGUUUUUCACAAAAUAAUCUGUUCUGACGUUCUGAUUUUCAAAGCAUAUUUGCAAAAUAACCCGAAAAGAAAACCUACAAAUGAAAAUCCCUAGUUCUAUGAGAUGCUAAAGAGGCUGGACUCAACAGAGAGGUUACUUUAUGACAUAUGGUAAUUUUCAUCCCUCUCCUGUUAACUUUUCACUUGUGUCUAACCAUCUUGUUUCUGUUUCUCUCAGUCUCCAUCCCACAGAAGCUAAUGGCCUCAGCACGGCUUCCCCUGCUGAAACUGCUUGCUGCUCCACAGGUGCUGGUUGUCCUAUUCCCUCAUACUGUCUAGUUGAUCAAUGUAAUAACUUCAUCCCAGAGCAUUUCUUCCCAAUGUGGUUUUACUGCAGUUUGCAACCUCUGUUUCAGACCUAAAGAAUGGCUUAUUUGCUUGUCUGUUUUUCCCUCAACUAUAAUAGUUGGUCUCAUAAAAGAUAUUACCUCUUCCCCAUAAGCCUUGGCUCUCUAACUUGCAUACACCUUCCUAGGGGGAAGAAAGCAAUCUCCUCAAGCCUGGAAUUUCCUGUAGGAGCAAACUGUAGUCAUUUGAAUUAUAGAUUUAAUUGAUAAGCUAUCUCACUAAUGCAAUCCCACUGAGUGCAAAUAUGCAUUGGACUUGCUGAGGGAACUAGAAGAAUUUCCAAAAUUUUCCAGUCAGAUGCCAGCUUUAA
rnacentral:lncRNA from 1 species